UUUAAAAAAAAAAAAAAAUCUUUAGGACUUUGAAUUCUCCAGUUAAAGUGAGUCGAGUCAAUUAUAAAAGAAAAAAAAAAAAAAUCUGUUCAUUGAAAUAGUACAUCCAUUGAAAUUUUGGACUUCUUGGGCCUAGCAAACACAUACACCCUAGGGGUGAUGCAUGUGCAUACAAUUUCUCACGUGAAAUCUAGACAUAGCUGGUGAAAAUAUUCUUUAAAUAUAUUAAAUAGCUGAUAUUUAAAAUUAAGUUUGAAAUAUUUUAAUUAUAAAUAUUUUUUCAAAAAAUUUAUUUUUAACAAUGCUUUAAAUAAAAAAAAAAAAACUUUUUUUAGCAUUCCCAUCAUAGCUUCAAAUAAAGCUUAACAGUUAAGAGAUUACGUACUAGUGAAAGUUGAAACGCGCAUUCUCAAGCAUUUUCU
rnacentral:misc_RNA from 1 species